rnacentral:rRNA from 1 species
UACGUAGGGGGCGAGCGUUGUCCGGAUUUAUUGGGCGUAAAGAGCGUGUAGGCGGCUUGGUAGGUCUGCUGUGAAAACUCGAGGCUCAACCUCGAGACGUCGAUGGAAACCAUCUGGCUAGAGUCCGGAAGAGGAGAGUGGAAUUCCUGGUGUAGCGGUGAAAUGCGCAGAUAUCGGGAAGAACACCCGUGGCGAAGGCGGUUCUCUGGGACGGUACUGACGCUGAGACGCGAAAGCGUGGGGAGCGAACAGG